GGGUACUCUUUUCAGCAGCCCUUUGCUCUUUGGCAAAGAAAUGCCAAAGAAAGAAACUGAGCUCUGUAAAUCUGGAUGAGACUCUGCAGAUGGUGACUAGUCAAGAGGAUCCUUUGAUAGAUCCUUGUCAAGCACUGGAAGAUGACCUGACCUACUACCAAGAGGCAGCUGAAGUAGGAGAAGAUGUAACAGCAGAAAAGCAGCCCCUGAUCUUGAUGGUGGAGCAAAAGAUGUGGAGUACGCCAGCAUUAAUUUCUCUGUGUUGAAAAGAAAGAGUCCCAGGGAGGCAACAAAGAAGCAAGAGACCACCGAGACAGAAUACGCUGAAAUUAAGAAGCAAGUAAAAGAGGACAGAGAAGACGACGACAGAGAGGAAGGUGAAUUAUUUGAGGAAAAAGAGGAGGAGGCGAUGAUAGUGGAGGAUGAGGAGUCAAAACAUUGUGUCUCAGAAGACGAGGACGUGGCGGUGUACUCCAACGUGAAGGAUAUAAUGGGUGAGAUUUAAAGACUGUUGGAUUGUGGAGUAAUGUUUCUUUGCUCUCAUCAGAUGUAACGGAUUGAAGUAAUGGACUCAUGGAUUGUUAUUCUGGUGAAUGAAUGGCAGUCUUGUGAACUGUUUCUACCACAAGCUGUGAUCUUCGAAUGCUAAAUUCAGUCUGUGAGAAUCUGAAGUGAGAGAGAGACUUCACACUGUCUACAUGUUAGGGGCUGUUCAAAUCUAUUCAUUCAAAUGAGGGUGGACUGAAAGUUGGACAGAAUUUCCAUUUUAUCCAAAUGUUAUUUUGCUUCUAUGUGUUCACUUUUCAUAAACCUUCCAGAUAAAUGUUACCACAUCCGUGAAAAGGCUUACAGUGCCAGUGGUGUGCAGGGGCAACCACCUCUGUCCUCUCUGCUCUGAGAGGUGAUGUG